UACGUAGGGUCCGAGCGUUGUCCGGAAUUAUUGGGCGUAAAGGGCUCGUAGGCGGCCAACUAAGUCAUACGUGAAAUCCCUCGGCUUAACCGGGGAACUGCGUCUGAUACUGGAUGGCUUGAGUUUGGGAGAGGGAUGCGGAAUUCCAGGUGUAGCGGUGAAAUGCGUAGAUAUCUGGAGGAACACCGGUGGCGAAGGCGGCAUCCUGGACCAACACUGACACUGAGGAGCGAAAGCCAGGGGAGCAAACGGG
rnacentral:rRNA from 1 species